rnacentral:rRNA from 1 species
CUNGGCUCUCCAACCCAUUGUGAACUUACCAAACGUUCCCUCGGCGGGCUCAGCGCGCGGUGGCCUCCGGGCCUCCGGGCGUCCGCCGGGGAAAACCAAACCCUGAUUUAAUCGUAUUUCUCUGAGGGGCGAAAGCCCGAAAACAAAAUGAAUCAAAACUUUCAACAACGGAUCUCUUGGCUCUGGCAUCGAUGAAGAACGCAGCGAAAUGCGAUAAGUAAUGUGAAUUGCAGAAUUCAGUGAAUCAUCGAAUCUUUGAACGCACAUUGCGCCCGCCGGCACUCCGGCGGGCAUGCCUGUCCGAGCGUCAUUUCAACCCUCAGGCCCACCCUUCCGGGGGAGCGGGCCUGGUUCUGGGGAUCGGCGGCCCUCGCGGCCCCCGUCCCUCAAAUUCAGUGGCGGUCGCGCCGCAGCCUCCCCUGCGUAGUAGCACAACCUCGCACCGGAGAGCGGAACGACCACGCCGUAAAACACCCAAUUUUUUAAGGUUGACCUCGGAUCAGGUAGGAAUACCCGCUGAACUUAAGCAUAUCAAAGGNNCANGAUNNAAAUUACCAGAGUGCCUAGGCUUUCAACCCAUUGUUGAACUUACAAACGUUCCUCGGGGGGCUCAGGCGGGUGGGCCUCGGGCCACGGUGGUCCCCGAGGAAAACCCAAUCUUGAUUAUAAUUCUUAUCUCGCUUGAGGGGCGAAAGCCGAAAAUAAAAAUGAUCCAAAAAUUUCACACGCAGCUUCGGCUCUGCAUCGAUCAUGAAGCA